AUUGGCUGGCGCGGCGCGAACCCCGUGAGGGGAAGCAGCGACGGGGGGAGGAAAUUGGGGGAAAAAAUGGCAAAAACGGGGCCGGGAAUGGCGGAAAGGAACCGAAAAACGGCCCCGAGGGCUCCUGGCGGCUUCCCCGCCACCCCUUGGAGGAUUUUUGUGGGGUUUAGGGAGCCCAGGUGCUUUUUGUGGUGGGGUCAUCACCCCUAAAUCCCUAAAAUCCCCAAAAUCCCCAAAAUGGAUUUGGGGGAGCUCCCAACCCCAGACCUGCUGCUGCUGCCAGGCGCUGUCUGUCCCUCCUGGCCCAGCUGUGCUCACCUGUGCUGGGGGCGGGAACUCAUUUGCAUCUCAUUUGCAUCUCAUUUGCAUCUCAUUUGCAUCUCAUUAGCGCAUGGGCAUUAACCAGGUGAGCACCCCAGUCCUUCCCAGUGCAUCCCAGUCCCUCCCAGUAACCCCAAAC